rnacentral:rRNA from 1 species
UACAGAGGUCUCAAGCGUUGUUCGGAUUCAUUGGGCGUAAAGGGUGCGUAGGCGGCGCGGUAAGUCGGGUGUGAAAUCUGGAGCUUACUCGAAACUGCAUUCGAUACUGCCGUGCUUGAGGACUGGAGAGGAGACUGGAAUUUACGGUGUAGCGGUGAAAUGCGUAGAUAUCGUAAGGAAGACCAGUGGCGAAGGCGGGUCUCUGGACAGUUCCUGACGCUGAGGCACGAAGGUCCAGGGGAGCAAACGGG